GAUGAACGCUGGCGGCGUGCUUAACACAUGCAAGUCGAACGGAAAGGCUCCUGCUUGCAGGGGUACUCGAGUGGCGAACGGGUGAGUAACACGUGGGUGAUCUGCCCUGCACUUCGGGAUAAGCCUGGGAAACUGGGUCUAAUACCGGAUAGGACGAUGGUUUGGAUGCCAUUGUGGAAAGUUUUUCGGUGUGGGAUGAGCUCGCGGCCUAUCAGCUUGUUGGUGGGGUAAUGGCCUACCAAGGCGUCGACGGGUAGCCGGCCUGAGAGGGUGUACGGCCACAUUGGGACUGAGAUACGGCCCCGACUCCUACGGGAGGCAGCAGUGGGGAAUAUUGCACAAUGGGCGCAAGCCUGAUGCAGCGACGCCGCGUGGGGGAUGACGGCCUUCGGGUUGUAAACUCCUUUCGCUAGGGACGAAGCGCAAGUGACGGUACCUGGAGAAGAAGCACCGGCUAACUACGUG
rnacentral:rRNA from 1 species